UUUCAGGUGGCAGUUGCACUGAUCUUCCCAACAUUGCCCCCUGGCUGGCAUGACUGGCAGAGCAGCAAGGAUGGCUCAUUCUCCCUAGCUGGCAGUCGCACUGAUCUUCUCAACAUUGUCCCCUGGCUGGUAUGACUGGCAGAGCAGCAAGGAUGGCUCGUUUUCCCUAGGUUACGUGAUGCUGCGCACAUAGUGAUGAUUUCAACUACCCAACGAGGCAUAGGGAUUGUCUUUUUCUUUCAGCAGUGUUGCGAGUCUUUAUUUGGGCGGUGUUGUACCUGAAUGAGUUAAUAAAUGUUACGAGUCAGAGAGACAAUA
rnacentral:lncRNA from 1 species